rnacentral:rRNA from 1 species
UACAGAGGGUGCGAGCGUUGUUCGGAAUUAUUGGGCGUAAAGCGCUUGUAGGCGGCACGUCAAGUCGCGGGUGAAAUCCCCAGGCUUAACCUGGGAAGUGCGCGCGAAACUGACGAGCUUGAGUGCCGGAGAGGGUCGCGGAAUUCCCGGUGUAGAGGUGAAAUUCGUAGAUAUCGGGAGGAACACCAGUGGCGAAGGCGGCGACCUGGACGGACACUGACGCUGAGACGCGAAAGCGUGGGGAGCAAACCGG